rnacentral:rRNA from 1 species
GGAAGACAUGAUGCGCAGACGGUGGAUGCCUUGGCGCUGGGUGCCGACGAAGGACGUGGCAACGCUGCGAAAAGGGUGGGGGAGUCGUGAGCAGGCUGUGAUCCCACCAUCUCCGAAUGGGGCAACCCCCCCGCUUACGCGGGGACCGCGGGAACGCGGAGGGAACCGGCUGAACUGAAACAUCUCAGUAGGCCGAGGAAGUAUGACCGUCCCCAGAGUAGUGGCGAGCGAAAUGGGGCGUGCCCAAAC